rnacentral:rRNA from 1 species
AUUGAACGCUGGCGGCAUGCCUUACACAUGCAAGUCGAACGGCAGCACGGGAGCAAUCCUGGUGGCGAGUGGCGAACGGGUGAGUAAUAUAUCGGAACGUGCCCAGUCGUGGGGGAUAACGUAGCGAAAGCUACGCUAAUACCGCAUACGAUCUAUGGAUGAAANCGGGGGAUCGCAAGACCUCGCGCGAUUGGAGCGGCCGAUAUCAGAUUAGGUAGUUGGUGAGGUAAAGGCUCACCAAGCCGACGAUCUGUAGCUGGUCUGAGAGGACGACCAGCCACACUGGGACUGAGACACGGCCCAGACUCCUACGGGAGGCAGCAGUGGGGAAUUUGGACAAUGGGCGCAAGCCUGAUCCAGCAAUGCCGCGUGCAGGAUGAAGGCCUUCGGGUUGUAAACUGCUUUGUACGGAACGAAACGGUGAGCUCUAAUACAGUUUGCUAAUGACGGUACCGUAAGAAUAAGCACCGGCUAACUACGUG